UCCCUGUGGCGCUUGUAAAUAUCCCCUCUUCUUCCCUGGGUUCCCUUGCCUGGAAAAUCUAAAGUCCCGCCUCUGUCUCCCUGCCCAGCCAUUGGCCACCGGCAACUUUAUCUACCAACUAGAGCCAACUAGGGCCAGGGAUCCAUGGCAUCUUACAUGCAGACGUGUGAAUUCCCGUGUAAUUUGGGAACCCAGUUAACAUAAUAUAAGCAAUACACAGAAUCCACAACAACCCAUCCUCCUGUGGAUGUGUUUCCAGUACUACAGAGGCUCUGCUGGGACCCUUGCUCCUCAACCUGGUGUAGAUUUCCAGGAAUCUCAUGGCUCAGCCUCCUCUCUCCCCUCUCUACUGUUUGCUGGGCUGCUAGCAAUACCGUUCCGUGUACUACGGUUUCUCCCUCCUUCUCAAGCACUGUGAUAGCUGGCACACAGGGUUCUUAAGCAGUAGCGUGCUAUUUCAGUGUCUCAGGCCAGUGGGGAAGAAGAGACUAAACAGAGAUCUGGAAGAGGAAGCUGCUUGCUUCCCCCACACCCCCCACUUCCUUCCUGCCCUGUUUCUGAAGCUGAAAACCACAGGGGCCAUUUGUGCAGCUCUGAAUCAUGUCUUCCUGGGAAGCCUGGCAAGGUGAGUUUG
rnacentral:lncRNA from 1 species